UACGGAGGAUGCAAGCGUUAUCCGGAAUUAUUGGGCGUAAAGCGUCCGCAGGUGGCAAUGCAAGUCUGCUGUCAAAGCGUCUGGCUCAACCAGAUAAAGGCAGUGGAAACUACAUAGCUAGAGUAAGGUAGGGGUAGAGGGAAUUCCUGGUGUAGCGGUGAAAUGCGCAGAUAUCAGGAAGAACACCCGUGGCUAAGGCGGCUCUCUAGUACGGUACUGACGCUGAGACGCGAAAGCGUGGGGAGCGAACAGG
rnacentral:rRNA from 1 species